GUGAGUCAGUGACGUCUCGGUUGCCCGGUCAAGAGGCGACUUCAAGAUCUCGCUAGGAAAUGGAAGCCGCAAGUUCAGUGUGUUCACGGCUGUGCUACUGUGGGAACGUUGUCAAAACGCAUACAUCGUGGACGGUUGCUCAUCCUGGAAGGAGGUUUCAAGUAUGUGCAAGGGUAAGUUUAUUUCUGUGUAAGUUUGAGCUGACAUUUGGGAAUUGUCUGUAUUCCAA
rnacentral:lncRNA from 1 species